CUGUGGAAUGUUGUUUAGAAUGGACCUUUUAAGAGGGAUUUAGUAGAUUUCUGCUGAUUGUUAAGAGAUGCUCCUGCCAAACCGUCACCCUUGUGGCAUUUUUAGAAAAGUGACUGUAUUUUUCUAUAGGAAAUCUGGGAAUAUUUUACUUUGUGUCAGUUCUCUAUCUGUUCUGUUUGAGGUACCUUUGCUCUUUAAUGCAGGGAAGGGACCCAGCUGAUAUAACAAGCAGGUACUCCCAAGCCUUAAUGCCUAGGGUAAG
rnacentral:lncRNA from 1 species